AAUCAUUUAUCCUGGUUGAAAUAAUUUCCAAUCAAAAUAUGUUCAUGUGAGGGGAAAAAAUACAGCAAACUGAGGAUAAUUUUCAUAAAAUGUCCCAUAAAAUACUUGAUUAUUAUUUCUCUACACAGAGAAAAUAAUACCACCAUCAAAGGCAAAAAGAAUGAAUUAUAGAAUUAGAAAUGACUGUUUAAAAUAGAUUAGUGAUUGGUUAAUCUGAGGCAGUGAGAACUGUCAGUAACAUGAAUUACUUCCAUAAUCUGCUUUUCUACUGUUACAGAUUUCAUUGAAGAUCAGAGCUCUUGUGGGGACAGGGAUCAACUAUGCAAAUAAUGGAAAUGAUCUUCUAUGACCUAACAAGACUAUUUUUGAGAAGAGGUCAUCAUCUGAGAUAACUAACAUGGGUGAAAUGCUGGAGAUGGACCUCACAUGGAGAGAUUAUACAAGCUGUAUGUGUGGAUCAUUUGUAUUUGUUAAGGCAGUCCAACUAGAAUGACUGAAUUUUGCUGCUAUAAGACAGGAAAGACAGAAACUAAUAAGGAGAAAAGAAGGCAGAGAAAUCCACAUAAUCAGACAUGUGAAAUGAAGACAUUUCAAGACUUGCCAUAGCAAUCUUUCUCCAAAAAUGAAUGGACUUGAGGCAUCUUGUUGUUGAAGUGAAACAAUCUUUACACAAUCACGAAGUAUUGUGGGAUGCUUAUUGAAUGCUAAGAUGGGAAGAGACAUGUGGAUGGAAACAGAACUCCACUGACUGGAAAAUCACUGCAC
rnacentral:lncRNA from 1 species